AUUGAACGCUGGCGGCAGGCCUAACACAUGCAAGUCGAGCGGAUGAAGGGAGCUUGCUCCUGGAUUCAGCGGCGGACGGGUGAGUAAGGCCUAGGAAUCUGCCUGGCAGUGGGGGAUAACGUCCGGAAACGGGCGCUAAUACCGCAUACGUCCUGAGGGAGAAAGUGGGGGAUCUUCGGACCUCACGCUAUCAGAUGAGCCUAGGUCGGAUUAGCUAGUUGGUGGGGUAAAGGCCUACCAAGGCGACGAUCCGUAGCUGGUCUGAGAGGAUGAUCAGUCACACUGGAACUGAGACACGGUCCAGACUCCUACGGGAGGCAGCAGUGGGGAAUAUUGGACAAUGGGCGAAAGCCUGAUCCAGCCAUGCCGCGUGUGUGAAGAAGGUCUUCGGAUUGUAAAGCACUUUAAGUUGGGAGGAAGGGCAGUAAGUUAAUACCUUGCUGUUUUGACGUUACCAACAGAAUAAGCACCGGCUAACUUCGUG
rnacentral:rRNA from 1 species